GCCUACGGGACGCAGCAGUGAGGAAUAUUGGUCAAUGGGCGCGAGCCUGAACCAGCCAAGUCGCGUGAGGGAAGACGGUCCUAUGGAUUGUAAACCUCUUUUGUCGGGGAGCAAAAGACGCCACGUGUGGCGUUCCGAGAGUACCCGAAGAAAAAGCAUCGGCUAACUCCGUGCCAGCAGCCGCGGUAAUACGGAGGAUGCGAGCGUUAUCCGGAUUUAUUGGGUUUAAAGGGUGCGCAGGCGGAAGAUCAAGUCAGCGGAAAAAUUGAGAGGCUCAACACUUUCGAGCCGUUGAAACUGGUUUU
rnacentral:rRNA from 1 species